rnacentral:sRNA from 1 species
UGCUUAUUAAUUUAUUUCAAAGGCACUUUUUUGCCUGACUUGACUUGCUCGUCGCGUAACUCGAAAGCUUGGCGCCAAUAAAUUUCUGGAAACUUUGCGAAAGGAUGUAUUUCUUAAUUAAGUGCGAGUAAUAUUAUGUAUUGCAAAAAAAAAAAAAUUAAGAUAGUGGAAGGAAGUAAAAUGUUUCGAAGCGGAGAUUAUUGAUUCGCGAGUAGAAGAUUGUGAAAUACUGGGCCAGCAAUGUCAAGAACUUAAUAAGGACUUACUAGAAGCAGAUACUAAGUUAAAUGAAAGUGAAGCAACAACGAAUGAUGAUAAAUCCGAGGAGCCAUUAGCAGCUUAUAAGUCAAAUACUGACACAACAAAUAAAAGCAACCUGGGACAAUUUGA